rnacentral:lncRNA from 1 species
CGGUUAAAAUCUCAAUCAUUGAAUUAACUCAAAUAAAUUCCAACCAUAGAUAGUGAGAGAUAGUUUGAACGAUUCAAAAAUAUUUGUAUCUUAUAUUAUAGAUUUUUUGGUCCUUAUUAUAUCCUUAACUAUAUAAAAAAAUACAAUUAAAGAAAAUUGACGUACGAAAAUCAUUUUCCUUUUUAUUUGUGGCAAUUUUUUUAUCUACCAUGUUUUUCACCUUUUAUUAUCUUUAUUGAAUUUUUUUCACCGAUUAAUCAAUAUUUUAUACUUUUUCAGUUUCUCUUGAUAAAAGGAGUCUAAAAAUAUAAAAAAAAUAUCUAAUUUAAUAGAAAAUUCACUAAAAAUAAAAAAAAAUAUUUUUAUCUUCAAAUUAAAUAAGGUUUUUUAUAUUUCUAGAUUUUUCUCGUCAAAAGAAAUAAUAUAAUAUAAAGUUUGAUCAAAUAAAAAAAUUAUUAAAUAAAAACAAAUCAAAAAUGAGGGGAAAGAAAUGGGUAUUUUAGUUUUUUAGUGUGGAUCCCAUUAAAAAAAUGAUCCAAUGAGUAAAAAUAUGCACAACUUUAGAGGUUUUUUGUCCAUUGGAUUACAAUUUAUGUGGGUCCCACAUUUUUAAAAAGAAGGAAGUGAUAGUUUGGGGGAGGGAAUAAUCUCAAGUGAAAUCUCAGUUAUAGAAUUAACUCAAAUGAAUUUCAAUCGUAGAUAGUGAAAAUAGUUUUGAAAUUCAAAAUAAAUUGUGUUUUAUAUAUAUGUGUAUAUAAAUAUAUACAUACAUAUAUAUAUAUGUAUAUAUAUAUAUGGGACUGAAUCCGAGGACACAAAUUUUAACACAAUUUUAGACACUCUAUCUUAACCCUUAAUUUGCAGGGCUGAGAUUAAAACUUGCAGACUAAAUUCCCAAUAGAUGCACAAAACUCUCAGAGUGACCAGGAAUAACGACCCCAAACCCUCAAUCUUAAGACCAAAAAUCUCCCAAAUUAUAAAUGAAACCUCCGAUUUGGAGCAAAAUUGAUCAAAUCAACCCUCGAAACCCAUGAACAUCAAAGAAACAACAAUAUCCAUACUUGGAGGUCAAGAUUAUCCGAUUACAAAACCAGUCAAACAAACCAUGGGUACGCAAGAAAACAGUCCCAAUAAAGCACACAGCCUCCAAGAUCCACAAUAUGCUGAAAAUCCACAAAAUACUUAACUGGGAAACACCGAAACUGCUAUAAACGGGGAAUGAAUACAUAAAACCAUGGAAAGCCCACAAAGAUUGACAUCGGGGGUGGGGGAGAGAGACGCAGGCAUCUGUGAAGAUGGGGAGGAGAGAUGUUAUUUCAAUCUCAGCCCUUGAUUUCAAGGGUUAAGAUGGAGUGUUUAAAAUUGUGUCAAAAUUUGUAUCCCUAGAUCCGGCCCAUAUAUAUAUAUAUACUUUGCUCUUUUUGUUAUUUCGGUCGCUUGUCUAGAACACUUGUGCACACCGCACAUCAUUAUACGGAUCUCAAACACCUAUAUAAAAGAGAAUUUGUAGGAGUAUAUAUACAAAGAACAAUGCUAUGCUUAAUAUCUGUUUUCAUCAACAACAAUAAAUACGAUACAUAGAAGCCACAUCAACAAACUAUUGGUACAAUAAAUUCCACAAAUGAAUCAAUUAUAUACCACAGUUUGAGAUUGUCAUAUAGAUGAUAUCAAAAUGGUAAGUAUAGCUUUUCUGAUAGGACCUGAUGAUAUUACCAUAGCUGAUGCCAAGAUUUAAUAGGCCUGCCGACAUGAAUUUAUUAGGGCAUCCCAAAUCUAAGGAAUUGGAACAAAUGGGUGGAGAGCUUGAAGAAACAAUGAAUUUAGGGCAAGGCAGGAGUUUUUGGUAUAGUUGAGGAGAUAAAUGGAACUUUGAAGAAGAAAAAAGAAAAUCAAGGCUCAAAUGUUUUGGAGAAUUUGAACUCAUUUUGAGUGAAAGAAGCUAAACAUGUUUUGGAUAUUCCAGAAUUAGUUUCUGGAGAAAUAUAGACAGCAUGGAUAUUGGGCUCGAGUGUACGUUGUAUUAGCUGUUUAUUUUUACUGGCUUGUUUCUUGCUAACUAGAUUUAUAGGUGUGCAUGAUUUAUUUAUUUUUUAUCAGAGAAAUAAAAUAAAGAUUUUAUAAACACACUGAAAAUGUUGUUGAUGAUUCCGUCUUUCAGUUGCAUUGAAGCAAUCAUCAUAAAAUGACAAAAUGUCAUUGCUGCAUCAUUCUAAGUUGUGUGAGGAUACUAUUUUCCUUACCCAUUUGGAUUUACUCCCUCUGUCCAAAAUCUUGGUACUUUUGGAAAAUUCUGACUUUUUAAAGAAACAUGGAAUAAUUACGUUUAAAUUGUCUAUUUAUUCUCAAUCUUGAAUACAUUUAUAGUUAUUAAUAUGUUUUGACUUUUUAAAGUGGAUCGAUAAUUUGAGUCAUCUCAAAAUAGAAAGACGAGUCAAAACUACUGGAGGGGGGUUGUUCUUCCAAUUAUAUAAAUAGAAUGGUUUUGUAAUUAUGAUAUAUG